rnacentral:rRNA from 1 species
UACGUAGGGUGCAAGCGUUGUCCGGAAUUAUUGGGCGUAAAGAGCUCGUAGGCGGCUUGUCGCGUCGGCUGUGAAAACUCGGGGCUCAACCCCGAGCCUGCAGUCGAUACGGGCAGGCUGGAGUCCGGCAGGGGAGACUGGAAUUCCUGGUGUAGCGGUGAAAUGCGCAGAUAUCGGGAAGAACACCAGUGGCGAAAGCGGCUCUCUGGGGACCAUCUGACGCUGAGGCGCGAAAGCGUGGGGAGCGAACCGG